rnacentral:lncRNA from 1 species
UUUAUUUUCUCAUCUUCAAAACAUCAUAAGGGAUUUCCCUAACACAAACCUCAUAGUAUAUUUUACAAUACUAUUCACAAAAGUCUUAUCUAACACCUAUCAGUUCACACAUUAGGUUUGCAAACAGGGUGGGGGUUUCAAUCUUCAUCCGGGUCCUACUUUGGAUCAUCCUCGGAAUCCUCUCCCGGUUUCUCAUCAGGGCCCUCCUCUUCGGGUUCUUUCUCCUCAAGUUUCUCUUGAAAUGUUGUCCUACAAUUGGGAUGAGACUAUGUCUCAGCAAAUUCUACCUCGAAGACCCGAUUAGUAAACCAAUACGCUAUCCGGGCCGCCUAUGCACACACGGGUCUGAGGACUUACCUUGGCCUUAGAUUCCACCUACAUAUUAGCAUAAUCCAACAGACACCAAAGUAAUCAUAUCACAGAUCGAUAUCUCGAUCAAUCGACCUAAUUGAUUACAUGUCAAUCGAACCAUUCAUUGGUUAUUUCAAUUCAAUCAAUCAAUUCACGACAUUAGAUCAAAGCAAUGAUUAAUUGACCUAGUCGAUUACAUGUCAUCUCGACCCUUUCUUGGUCGGCUGAUCUCAUACUAUCUAUAAGUCCGUUCAUAUCAGGACUGCUCACUGCUAA